GCGGUGGAGCAUGUGUUUAAUUCGAUGCAACGCGAAGAACCUUUACCUGGGCUUGACAUCCCAAGAAUCCCCUGGAAACAGGGGAGUUGCCCUUCGGGGAGCUUGGAGACAGGUUGCUGCAUGGGCUGUCGUCAGCUCGUGUCGUGAGAUGUUGGGUUAAGUCCCGCAACGAGCGCAACCCUUGCCUUUAGUUGCCAUCAUUCAGUUGGGCACUCUAGAGGGACUGCCGGUGUCAAACCGGAGGAAGGUGGGAUGACGUCAAGUCCUCAUGGCCUUUAUGCCCAGGGCUACACACGUGCUACAAUGGGCGGUACAAAGAGCAGCGAGCUCGCGAGAGUAAGCAAAUCUCAAAAAGCCGUCCUCAGUUCGGAUUGGAGUCUGCAACUCGACUCCAUGAAGUUGGAAUCGCUAGUAAUCGCGGAUCAGAAUGUCACGGUGAAUACGUUCCCGGGUCUU
rnacentral:rRNA from 1 species